AUGAGCGUUGCUCUGACAGAACGCAUUGCCCUCAUGUAAAGCCCGGUCAAUUUUUGAGUGCCCUCUUUUAGAAAAUGUUUUGUCGCGAAAAUUUUGAUUCCUGCUCGAAAUAUACUCAUUCAUGAGGUUAAGAACAGUGAAAAGUAAACGUACAGGUAUACUUUGGUUGAAAAGCAAGAACAUGGUCUUGGAGGAUAAUGGAUUGGAUACUUGUGGAAGUAGACGGAUUGGUGCGUCAAGAAACAAUCUGAUGGUUAGUGUUGCACUAUUGAUAGGGCUGGAAAGUAUAUUACGGACCCUGGCUGAAACAAUCACCACUACUCAUGGCCCUCUUCAUGACGACGUUAAAGACUCAAAUGGAUAUGAGGAUUUCGAAUGGAACAAAAAUUUGAUCGACAGCAAAAUUAUUCCUGACGUUAUUCCUCAGGCAGUGCAGUUCAAUCUUAAAAUUCUUUUCGGAAAUGAAGAGAUUAAAUAUGGAAAUCUUUUAGUGCCUUCCACGGUAAAAGAGGAACCAACGCUUCUUGAGUGGCCAUCAGACAUGCAUAAGUACUACUCAAUCGUAAUGACAGACGCGGACAACCCUGAACCUGAAGAUAACAUACACGCAGAAUGGGUGCAUUGGGUCGUUAUGGACGUUCAAGGUGGAAACAGAAAUGUCUGCAGAAUAGUUGUUCCUUACCAAAAACCUCAGCAGAAUGAUUUCAGAAAAUUGAAAGGGAUGCACCGAUACGUGAUUGCAGUUUACGAACAACCUCAUGCCAAUGUUACGUUCCAUAUGCCCGUGUUAGACGAUGAACCCCCGCACGCAGAUCGAGCGCACUUUUCCUCAAAGUAUUUCGUAAAAAGGCACAAAAUGCAACCAGCUUGUGCGGCUAAUUUCUUCCGUAUUGAUUGCACGGAAAAAAAAGAUUUACUGAAUUUAAUGUGGGGUUGAGCAGUUGAGCAGUUGAGCAGUUGAGCAGUUGAGCAGCAUGAAGCACGCAUCAUGGGUGAAAAAUGACCUAUGACAGAAAGUCUGCAACGUCGUAACCCGAGAUACGUAGUCAGGUUAACAAGCAUACAGGGAUCCAAGUUCAGAGACAUCGAAGGAUAUGAGAAAGAGCGUAGUGAAAAAAUUAAAUAACGGAUAAACCAGGAAAUAUUGUUCUUUUCCUCAUUCCUCGAAUGUCUGUCUGGAUUUAUAUUGGACCUUUUGAUAAGAGCCCUGAGGACCGAAAAAUGAGAGCUUUUUACACUCCCCUGGAUGGACCGUCUGUGUAGACUUAAGGAACUCACUAGGAAGUUAUAGUGGAAAUCGCAUCGACGUGUUCACUCACUUGGGAAGGAGUCUCACUUCACUUUACCAUACAGACCUUUACCGACGGCUAAACUAAAAAAUCACGUAUAUGUACGUAUUAGCUCAUAAAACGAAGUAAUUACUUAUUUUGGAUAUUCUAAAAAUUCUCGUGCAAGCUGUUAUUUUGUAAUGAGAAACAAAUAAACAUCUCUGAGCACUAUA